rnacentral:rRNA from 1 species
AUGGUGCGAUAUGAUCUCGAGGAUCAGCUCGCCACCAUCUAUACGGAUGAAGAAGCAUACUGGAGGCUCCGCGGUACCCAGCGUUGGGUGCUGUGGGGCGAUGCUAAUACGACAUAUUUCCAGGCGAUCGCGAAUGGGCGGCGACGUCGGAACUCCAUCCACUGUUUGUGGGAUGGUGAUUCCCAGCUCGUCCGCCCCUCGGACAUUCGGACACAUGUGGAUGGCUUCUAUAAAUCCCUAUUCUCCCCCACCCCUCGGGGCGGGACCGCUCUGGCGCCCGACAUCUGGUCGGCGCCCAGCUUGUGUUUGUUGCGGACAAUGCCGCCUUAG